UUUAUUUAACCAGGUAGGCUAGUUGAGAACACCUUUAUUUAACCAGGUAGGCUAGUUGAGAACACCUUUAUUUAACCAGGUAGGCUAGUUGAGAACACCAUUAUUUAACCAGGUAGGCUAGUUGAGAACACCAUUAUUUAACCAGGUAGGCUAGUUGAGAACACCUUUAUUUAACCAGGUAGGCUAGUUGAGAACACCUUUAUUUAACCAGGUAGGCUAGUUGAGAACACCUUUAUUUAACCAGGUAGGCUAGUUGAGAACACCUUUAUUUAACCAGGUAGGCUAGUUGAGAACACCAUUAUUUAACCAGGUAGGCUAGUUGAGAACACCUUUAUUUAACCAGGUAGGCUAGUUGAGAACACCUUUAUUUAACCAGGUAGGCUAGUUGAGAACACCUUUAUUUAACCAGGUAGGCUAGUUGAGAACACCUUUAUUUAACCAGGUAGGCUAGUUGAGAACACCUUUAUUUAACCAGGUAGGCUAGUUGAGAACACCAUUAUUUAACCAGGUAGGCUAGUUGAGAACACCU